GACGAACGCUGGCGGCGUGCUUAACACAUGCAAGUCGAACGGUGAAAGCGGAGCUUGCUCCGCUGGAUCAGUGGCGAACGGGUGAGUAACACGUGGGCAACCUGCCCCUCACUUCGGGAUAACUCCGGGAAACCGGGGCUAAUACCGGAUAUGACCUCCUUGGGCAUCCUUGGAGGUGGACCGUUUUUCGGUGAGGGAUGGGCCCGCGGCCUAUCAGCUUGUUGGUGAGGUAGUGGCUCACCAAGGCGACGACGGGUAGCCGGCCUGAGAGGGCGACCGGCCACACUGGGACUGAGACACGGCCCAGACUCCUACGGGAGGCAGCAGUGGGGAAUAUUGCGCAAUGGGCGAAAGCCUGACGCAGCAACGCCGCGUGCGGGAUGACGGCCUUCGGGUUGUAAACCGCUUUCAGCAGGGAAGAAGCCGCAAGGUGACGGUACCUGCAGAAGAAGCACCGGCUAACUACGUGCCAGCAGCCGCGGUAACAC
rnacentral:rRNA from 1 species